rnacentral:SRP_RNA from 1 species
GCUGAGUGUGUUGGCAGGCGCUUGUAGUCCCAGCUACUCAGGAGGCUGAGGCAGGAGAAUCACUUGAGCCCAGGAGGCGGAGGCUGCAGUGAGAAGAGAUCGCACCACUGCACUCUAGCCUGGGCAACAGAGUGAGACUCUGUCUCAA